UACAGUUAGCUUACUGGGCUGCGAGGGCACACUGUUGGUUCAUAUCCAGCUUGCCAUCCACCAGUACCCUGAAGUUCUUUUUGGCAGGGUACUGCUCGAACCUUUCUAGGUCUUUCCAGGUGGCAUCUUUUCCCUCAGGUCUGUUGACUGCUCCACACAGCUUGGUGUCAUCUGCAAACUUGCUGAGGGUUCACUUGAUCCCAACAUCUAUUGCCAUACCACCAACAUUUGCCUCUGAUGUCAUGGGCAAGCAUAAUAAAAGAGGAGGCAUUUGGGGCUUUUGGAGCAGCCCUCUGCAAAUUUUAUUCUAAAAUUUCGAAUGCCUGUAGUAAUACCACUCCAAUUUAUAUUUAAACUGUAAAUAGUUAUCUUUAAUUGCAACAGAAUCCUACUAAUUCUAUGAAAAAAAAAACAAAACUGCCGAGUGACAUAUUUGGGAUAAAUGCAGCAUUAAAUGCUUUAAUUUAAAAGUGUUUAUUCACACUUAGUUUUAUAUUCACAAUUUGUUUAUUAUUAUUCACAAAUUGACCUAGAGUCUCAGCAGGACUUUAGGACAAAAACUGAAGUUAUUUGGCAUACUUUAUAUAUAACUGGGCUCAUUAACAGCAAGACUCAGCAUGAGUCACAUUUUCCAAGUAAGAUCCUGAUGUACCCUACUUUACCUGGAGACCUUCUAAUUAAUACUGAAAUACAUAUACAGCUCCCAACUCACUCCAUUGCCCAGCCCCCAUCAUUCCUUAACAGAGGUUUAAGAUUGUGUGAUCAAGCACCUGAAGGGUCAUGCUCUCAGGUCAUGCCCAUUGCACAAGCGUGCCUAAUGUUCAGUGCUCUGAUGUUUUCAUGUUCACUGUUGCUAUGCCCGCCAGUAUGGAGGUGGCAAGUAAAUCCUGGAAAGUCCCAGUAAACUUUUAUCAAACAGAUUUGGAACAUUUGGCUGCCAAACACUGUAUCUGUUAUGUGAACUAAGCCUGCAGCUCUUACGGAGCUUGUAAUCUUCUGAGCUUGUAGACAAGUCUGUAUUUGAUCCAGCAUGACUUAAAAGCACCUUAUGAAUUCAGUUGAAACUAACUGUAAGUCAAAGUCCAGUUUGGCAAAAUAUCUGAGGCUAAAAAUACCCUUAGAAAUGAUAAAACAUGGAAAUGUUUCUUCUGCAAAUAUUUAACAGAGAGAAUACAACUUUUUAUUUUGAAACCAUUGCUUUGUUUCAAAAGUGACUGAAAUGUUACAGUGAAGUCAAGGAAGAAUUAAAUAAGUUCAGAAUAAAAUGGUCAAUUAAAACAUCUAGUUGGUUGAACUGCCACAGGCUGCUCUAUGGCCAGUAUGCAAAAAGUGCUAACGUGUCAGUCUCAUGUCUAAUGGGGAGAAAAACAAAGGAGACAUGUUUUGUGUUAUUCAGCACCAUUUCAAGUUAUGCUUUCACAGAAUUGAGUCUGAUACAAUAUUUCAUUGUGAUCCAUCUGCCUCAGUGUGCUGAAGAAUAGAAAGCACACAGGUUCAGAAGAGAAGGCCAUGACCUCAUCAAUUUGAAUACCCGCCCUACUUUGUGGUUGUUAUUAACCUGCAGUUGUUGACCCAAGGAAUCAUAAAUGUUCUAUUACAAGUAGUGACUGAUACUGGAUUUAAAAUCCAGAGACAUGCCUGUUAAAUGAAUCAGCAACAGUUACUUUGACUAUAGUUACUCAGGCUUUAUUUUAUUCUGAAAUAUGAUAUGACCUGGCAUCUAUUUCACUUGCCCACACUGAAGUAAUGAUAUCCAAAAGUGGGAAGAUAAUAAAAUACAUGAAACAUAACUUUAUCAUAAUUAUUCCCAAUUAUUGCUGUUAAAGGAACCUCGAGGAUUUUUGAGUAGAAAAAGCCCAUUCAGGCAUGCAGUCUGAAAAAAAUUCAACAUUCCAUUUAUAUGUGGAGUUGAAAUUAUAGUCUGCAGCUCAAAAAUAUCUCUUCAGUAGGGAGAGCGUAUCAACACAUCCUUGAUUAUCACUUCUUUGACUUGAGGACAUGAUGCAGUACAAAUAAUACAAACAUAAAGAACAUUUAUUAAAAUACCAAGAAGAACAUAUCCUAUAUGCAAAAGAAAUUACAAGGUGAUGUCAAAGAACUAAAGAUAUCUCAAGGAAGUGCCAAUUUCUCAUUACACUAAGAUGGUGCAUUACACGUAACAUAAGAAAACAUAUUUUAAACUCUUUAGUGUUUGCAAUAUAUUCGGUAUAAUUAUUUUAUUUUCAGUUUAUGUGUUUCCUAUAACUUACUAUUUUGCUUGUUGAAAAGUUUUUUCCCCUCCACUGUUUCUAAGAUCCUAUUUUAUUGAUGGUUGUUUGAAAAAUCAGAUUUCAAUGAUGUCUGAAAUAGCAGAGAAAAAUAUCAAUUGUAAUCAGUUCAAAGAGAUUUCAUAUAUGUGUAAGCUGAUUUCUACUACCAAUUAAAGAGUUGAAACAUAUAAAAUGUUUCCAUAUAAAACAACUUUUUGCUUUAAUAGAAACACAACUAUUUCUAUAUUCAUUACCAUAAAACGUGUCCAAAAUUUUAUGCAUGUGGAUGUUGCUAUAAAGCAAAUUUUGUCUACCUGGUGUUGUUACAAAGGAAAAAAACAACUGAAUAAGGAAAUGCAAGCCAUUGCCUACAUAGCUGAUAAGAUGUCACAGGUAGCAUUUCAAGACCCAAACCAAUAACUUAAAGUGCUAGAAGAAUCUAAAUAUGAAGACAUGACAACAAUCAAGAUAGUGACCUAGUAAUUCCCUCAGGUAACAAUGGUUGUGACUUAACUCCUGCUAAAUGUUGAUGUGCACUAUAAAUCCACUUAUUUCAAAGAUACAUAAGAGAAAAAUUUAAUUAUUUCCAUCUGUACCUUUGUAAUUUAUAUAUAUAAAUUAAUACUUCCAAGUUCAAGGGUGCCAGGUGCCAAACAAUUUCUGCUGAGUAAAUUUUGUGUGUUGUGCUUUGAAAGACUCUUCCGUAUUCAUUAGCAUGUAUGUGAACAACCAUUAGUUUUAUUCCCUUUAUCUUUUGGACUCUUGUGCCUUGAUACAAGGAGAACAGAGGCUGGAGUGCCCGCAGGAAGAAGAAGAAUAAACUUUAGCAAAUGGAAUGACAUAUCACUAUUGAAGGUUUAUGAAUGUUGGUUGCAUUUUGCUUAACAUUUCAUCUCAGUGCUGCUUCAGAACUGGUUAGUAUUUAAUAAAUCAUUUAAAGAUUAUUUUGAUUGCUUGUUAAAACCUGUCAUUCACACUAAUUUCUAUUCAAUUGAAUGUUAAUGAAAAUUUCUUUACAUGCCAAGGAUCCAACAAAGCUUACUUUUGCUUCUUAGAAGAAUUGAGCACCUAAGAGAGUAAAACAGAAAAGUAAAUUCCAGUCAAUUCCAUUUAUUUGCAUUACUUUCUCAUGAAUCAUCUCUCUCUCUCUGUAUAUGUUAGUAGAGAGAGCAAGUGAAAAGUUCAUUGUUGCAUCAGCUGCCAUCUACUUAGUCAAUUUGGCAGCACUUUGGAGUCAAUAAAAAGUAAAAUAUGAUUGUAAAGCCUCCUGUCUCACUUGUUUUUAAAUUAUGUCAGCUCUUUAAAAUUAAAACUCCUCAAAAAGUGGCUUGCUCUUUGGUGCAGCUGUCUUUGUUUAAGCUCCUUAUUUCUUUAGCUGGUUCAACUAUAUUUGUACAUACUACAAAGUCACCACAUUUUGUGGCUCAAAUAAAUUCUUAAAGUUCUAGAAUUUGUAAUGGUCCUAUUCUUAGAAAAUCUAGAGAAGAUAAGAAUUCAGUAAGCAUGUUUAGCCCUCUGGCCUGAUGAGCACAUAGAGCUUUCUUUGUUUAUGUAACAGAUGCAUUUUUCAAAUUUCGAUAGAAUAUAAGCUAGAAAGCCAAUGACUCUUUCACAGUGAGAGCAAUAAUUAUUCAGAGAUGAUUUGUUUAGAUGGCCUUCUGUAUGCAGGAGUUCCUUUGCUCUGCUUGUGGCCUGAGUCAAAUAGGAGCUGUAUGGCCCAAGUUAAUGACUUAUCAAGCUUGAGCAGUUUGCAUUAAAUGCACACACACAUCUUUCAUUUGGAUCAACACUCCCAAGAGGAAGCAGGUGUACUCCUGGAAGACCUUGUAAAUAUUGAUGAGGAUAUUAUCUUGAGUCCAUCCCUGUGUAAUAUAAUUAAUUGAACAAAUGGUGCAACAGUGUGUUGCCACAAAAGAAAAGACUUAAAAUAUUGUAGUCUCUCUCUCUAUAUAAAGAUAUUAAGAGGAGCCAUUUCAGCUGGGAUUGUCCUGAAGAAAAGUCUCCUUUUGCCUUGAAGCCUAUUUAGGAAUGUCUAAAGCAAAACAGUUUUUGAAAACCUCGGCUAUCUGUUACUAUGCAAAAUAACUGAAGUAAAGAGGUUCUUCAUCAUCUCUAGGCACCAUGGACUGAGCAUUGACUGCUUCUCUUUAUCUUGCACUUGUCUCGUUGGGUGGAGCCAUAUCCUUGCUGAAGAUGAUAGGUUCCUAUGGGAGACAGCUGCACCUGGGAAAGUGGUUCACACUUCCAUGGACGUGUUGUAGCUCCUGUCUGCACAGAGGGGAGGAGCACAUCUGGGAUCACUGGGACCACAGCAGCAGUGGUGAUGAAUCCAGAGGGCAGAGCAAGGGCGCAUAGGAGAGCUUCCCUUCCCUGGGACCUCCUUUGACCUCAGUCUCCCUUCCCAUUACUUAUUACUUUAUUACUUUUUUUAUAUUAUUAUAUUAUAUUUACUUUAUUAUAUUAUUACUUUAUAAUGCUGGUUUAAUGCAGAAUGCAGAGAUCAUGCUAGGAGUCAAAACUGUCCUGUUUCACCAUGUGUUGACUUGCAGUCACAUGUCCCUUUUGCCACCAUUUGCCUUGGUAAAUCACGGGUUUAGAAGGAAGCAUCGGCUCAUCUUAUAUCUCUAACAAAUUAUUUUGCUCCUACAUCAAGUAGUCCUGUGUCACCAGGAUAAAAAAGUAUUGAUUUAUGUUAUGCAUGCCCUUAACAGGAUAACUUAAAAAUACUUUUACAAACAAACAUUGGACCAAUAAAUCCUUGUUAGUCUUUGGAGAUCAUACCGAAAAUUAAUUUUAGAUGAAUUUGGUUUCCUUCGUCUGGGAAGAAACUAAGCAUUGACUUCUACACCUUCUUACACAGUCUUAUCCAGUUUACUUACUUAGGAGUAGGAAAAUCUCAAGUUCCUUACAGACAUUAUCCCCUUUACCCAAAUGUGGGAGAAGAGAAGGAAGCUCUUCAAUGCAAGAGAACCUCCCAUGAAUGUUUGGCAGGUAUUGCUGGUGAAUUUACUGAAGAUUAAGGAUGGCAUUCUGAAGUGUCACAGAACAAAGGAGAGGGAGCUGUUUAUUUUACAUCCCUCGUUUAGCACAAAGACAGCUUUGCAUCUGAUCAAACCACAAGUGCAUUUGGUACAAAAAUAGAUUUUCUUCUCAGUACUUAACGAAACAUAGGUUUUGGUGCAAGUUUAUCAGGCAAAUUUUAGUUUUCAUUGUCGAAAAUUGUUGGAAUUUUGUGCAUAUCUAAUGUUUUUAUACAAACAGGCAAAACCAUUCCCAUUAUUUCUUUACCACUGGCAUUAAUAUGUGACCAUGCUGAAGAGGUUAUGCACGUGCCACAUAGAGGAACCAGUGAUGCCUGGCUAAACUAUCUUGGCAUAAGCAAGUGCGAUCUGGAAAAGAACAGACAUUUCCUUUGCUAAUGAAUUAGUGCAAGCAGUUGGACAGAAACAAGCUGUAAAAUGCCAACUCAGCAGGAUCACUUCCUCGAAUACAUAAAAGCUGUUCCUUUCCACACGUCAGAGCAAGAUCUUUCCAAGAAUUUCCAGGCCAGUAUUCUUGCUUUUCAAAGUUUUUUCAAAUGGGUACAAAUCCUCCUCUCUUGAAUGCAUCAAAACAAACAGAAAGGGAUGUGAAAAUUUAGAAGCAUCAAAAUAUUAAAAUCAUCAGUCAUGCAAAGCGUGAGCACAACUGGAAGCAGUGUCUCCUUGAGAUUUUGCUUCUAUCCUGAGUAUAUUUAAAAUAAAAUGUCUGUUAUUGCUGGGAAAACAAAUAUGAUAAAUCACAGAUUCAUAGAAUACCCGUAGAUGGAAGGGACCCUUAAGGAUCAGUGGGUCCAACUCCUGGCUCCACACUCCUGGGGCACACUGGGAUGUUUUAGAGUUGAUCAAGCAUUCAAGCCUACAGCAACUAUUCCUGAUUGCCUCUGGGAUCUGCUGCCAAAGCACCACCUGUGGCUUCGGAUUGAAUUUUACAGGAGACACGUCAUUCCUAUGUGAAAGAAGGAUCCCCUGACAAGUUCUGGGAUUAAAACAGCUCCUGCUAUUUGUGGGUAAGCAAAGUAAGUAGUUUGUGAAGGACUUGUCCUGCCAUCACAACUGGCUCUACUGUGGUUAUCUCAGCUAAACCUGCUGUGCUAGUAAGUUCCAAAAGAUGAUCUGGAAGGUGACCUGCGUGAAGAAGUCCUGUAUAAAGAUGUCCUGCAAUGUGUGGAGCAGGACUGGCAAGAUGGAGGGAAAAAAUGGGAGACCAAGAGGAAAACAAAUCUCUGAGUGAUUCCUUAGAAAAACAUGUAUUCUCUUCCUGCUGAAAUUUUCCCACUGAAGAUAAAACUUAUCUGAAGAGUUUCCACGGGAUAUUUCUACACGAUGCUCCAGUGAUGGAAGUUUUGCUUCGAAUAUUUUUAAUGGUAUUUUGUUGAGUCACUUCAAUAAAACAUUUUUGUUUUCUUAACUGAA